CCGGCCCCCUCUCACCUACGGCAACGGAGGAACCGGCCCCCUCUCACCUACGGCAACGGAGGAACCGGCCCCCUCUCACCUACGGCAACGGAGGAACCAUUAUAUUAGUGAACCGUACGUUGGUCUGUCGCUCCAGGGAGCUAGAGGGGGAUGGACAGAACGAGGAAGAGUGUGGAGGGAGGGAGAGAGAGGACCCCUCCUGUUCUCUCAUCUCCUUCGCAGAGUUCAACCAAGGAGCUGUCAAGAACAAGUGUCAGACAGUGAGAGAGGUGUUUGCCAGACAGCUGAUGCAGAUUUCUGGACUCUCUGGUGAUAAGGCUGUUGCUAUACUAGAGCACUACAGUACUCUACACAGUCUGUUGAAAGCGUAUGAGCAGUGCCCCAGCGACACAGAAAGAGAGAAACUACUCUCCUCCAUCCGAUAUGGAAAACUGAAAAGGAACUUGGGUCCAGCUUUGAGUCGCACAGUUUACCAGCUCUACUGUACGAAAGGAGCACUGUCAUAGACACACACACUCUCGCUCACACUCACACACCACAACACACACACACACACACACCACAACACACCUCUACAACGUAGUGUUUAAGUCAUUCCCUGCCAAUGUAAACCUAUAUGUAAAUGCUGCUAUUGUUGUGAUUUUUCCACUAUUUUCUAGUCAAGUGCGGCAGCAGGUAGCCUAGUGGUUAGAGUGUUGGACUAGUAACCGAAAGGUUGCAUGAUCGAAUCCCCGAGCUGACAAGGUACAAAUCUGUGGUUCUGCCCCUGAACAAGGCAGUUAACCCACUGUUCCUAGGGCCAUUAUUGAAAAUAAGAAUUUGUUCUUAACUGACUUGCCUAGUUAAAUAAAGGAUCAAAUAAAGUAUUAUUUUAAAAAGUUCCAGAAAUUAUGGUUAAGAAUGAAUUAAAGUCUUGGCUGUAGUUUGGAGAAAUAUUCUUUGUUGUUGUCAUCACUGUUAUAAAUGCAUUUAUUACCCAUAACUCCCAGAGCUGUUCCAGUUUAUCACAUUAAAGCAUUUUUGCUUAAAACGGCCCUAAUAUACUGAGUGUACAAAACAUUAGGAACACCUACUCUUUCCAUGAGACUGACCAGGUGAAAACUAUGAUCCCUUAUUGAUGUCACUUGUUAAAUCCACUUCAAUCAGUGCUGAUGAAGAGGAGACUGGGUUCAGUCAGUGCUGAUGAAGAGGAGACUGGGUUCAGUCAGUGCUGAUGAAGAGGAGACGGGUUCAGUCAGUGCUGAUGAAGAGGAGACGGGUUCAGCCAGUGCUGAUGAAGAGGGGACGGGUUCAGUCAGUGCUGAUGAAGAAGAGGAGACGGGUUCAGUCAGUGCUGAUGAAGAAGAGGAGACUGGUUCAGUCAGUGCUGAUGAAGAGGAGGAGACGGGUUCAGUCAGUGCUGAUGAAGAGGAGGAGACGGGUUCAGUCAGUGCUGAUGAAGAGGAGGAGACGGGUUCAGUCAGUGCUGAUGAAGAGGAGGAGACGGGUUCAGUCAGUGCUGAUGAAGAGGGGACGGGUUCAGUCAGUGCUGAUGAAGAGGAGGGACGGGUUCAGUCAGUGCUGAUGAAGAGGAGGGACGGGUUCAGUCAGUGCUGAUGAAGAGGAGGGGACGGGUUCAGUCAGUGCUGAUGAAGAGGGGACGGGUUCAGUCAGUGCUGAUGAAGAGGGGACGGGUUCAGUCAGUGCUGAUGAAGAGGGGACGGGUUCAGUCAGUGCUGAUGAAGAGGAGGGGACGGGUUCAGUCAGUGCUGAUGAAGAGGAGGGGACGGGUUCAGUCAGUGCUGAUGAAGAGGAGGGGACGGGUUCAGUCAGUGCUGAUGAAGAGGGACAGUGGCAACAAGUCAUUCUGUUUUGAACCCUGCCUUUUAAGCUGAAAAAAAAAGAAGUUUGUUUUUAUGUUAUUUUGGCGUUGAUACGUGUGUCACACAUCAGUUUGCAGAGAAUGUAAACCAUGUAAUAAAGCCGCAUACAAAC
ensembl:lncRNA